UGGGGAAUAUUGCACAAUGGGCGAAAGCUUGAUGCAGCGACGCCGCGUGGAGGAUGAAGGUUUUCGGAUUGUAAACUCCUGUUAAGUGGGAAGAAAGAACGGGUCUGAAUAAGGCCUGGAGAUGACGGUACCACUAGAGAAAGCACCGGCAAACUUCGUGCCAGCAGCCGCGGUAAUACGAAGGGUGCAAGCGUUAUUCGGAGUUACUGGGCGUAAAGAGCGCGUAGGCGGUUUAUUAAGUCAUUUGUUAAAGAUCCCGGCUUAACCGGGAAAAGGCAGCUGAUACUGGUAGACUAGAGUAUAAGAGAGAGAAGCGGAAUUCUCGGAGUAGCGGUAAAAUGCGUAGAUCUCGAGAGGAACACCGGAAGCGAAGGCGGCUUCUUGGCUUAUAACUGACGCUCAAGUGCGAAAGCGUGGGGAGCAAACAGG
rnacentral:rRNA from 1 species